UGAGUACGAGCUGCUACGGCAGCGAAGUGGGUGAUGUCAAGCUUCCAAGAAAAGCCCUAUACCCGUUAAGGCAUGACGGCCUGUACCCGAAACCGACACAGGUGGGGUGGUAGAGAAUACCGAGGGGCGCGAGAUAACUCUCUCUAAGGAACUCGGCAAAAUGGCCCCGUAACUUCGGGAGAAGGGGCGCCACCGCAAGGUGGUCGCAGUGAAGAGGCCCAGGCGGCUGUUUACCAAAAAUACAGGUCUCCGCUAAGUCGCAAGACGAUGUAUGGGGGCUGACGCCUGCCCAGUGCCGGAAGGUUAAGGAAGCUGGUCAGCGCAAGCGAAGCUAGCGACUGAAGCCCCGGUGAACGGCGGCCGUAACUAUAACGGUCCUAAGGCAGCGAAAUUCCUUGUCGGGUAAGUUCCGACCCGCACGAAAGGCGUAACGAUCUGGGCGCUGUCUCGGAGAGAGGCUCGGCGAAAUAGAAUUGUCUGUGAAGAUGCGGACUACGUGCACCCGGACAGAAAGACCCUAUGAAGCUUUACUGUAGCUUGGUAUUGUGCCCGGGCUCUGAAUGCGCAGGAUAGGUGGGAGGCUUUGAUCCAUGGCUUGCGGGUCAUGGUGAGCCAACGGUGAGAUACCACUCUUUCAGAGCUAGGGUUCUAACAGCCACCCGUUAUCCGGGGGCUGGACAGUAUCAGGUGGGCAGUUUGACUGGGGCGGUCGCCUCCUAAAAGGUAACGGAGGCGCGCAAAGGUUUGCUCAGGCUGGUUGGAAAUCAGCCGACGAGUGCAAAAGCAGAAGCAAGCUUGACUGUGAGACCAACAAGUCGAACAGGGACGAAAGUCGGCUUUAGUGAUCCGACGGUUCUGAGUGGAAGGGCCGUCGCUCAACGGAUAAAAGUUACUCCAGGGAUAACAGGCUGAUCUCCCCCAAGAGUUCACAUCGACGGGGAGGUUUGGCACCUCGAUGUCGGCUCAUCGCAACCUGGGGCUGAAGUCGGUCCCAAGGGUUGGGCUGUUCGCCCAUUAAAGCGGUACGCGAGCUGGGUUCAGAACGUCGUGAGACAGUUCGGUCCAUAUCCGGUGCAUGCGUAGGAACAUUGAGAGGAGUUCUCCCUAGUACGAGAGGACCGGGAGGAACGCACCUCUGGUGUACCAGUUAUCGUGCCAACGGUAAACGCUGGGUAGCCAUGUGCGGAGAGGAUAACCGCUGAAAGCAUCUAAGUGGGAAGCCCACCUCAAGAUGAGUGUUCUCAUGGCUUAAGCCAGUAAGGUCACGGGAAGAACACCCGUUGAUAGGCUCUACGUGGAAGCGCAGCAAUGUGUGAAGCGGAGGAGUACUAAUAGACCGAGGGCUUGAU
rnacentral:rRNA from 1 species